AUGAACGCUGGCUACAGGCUUAACCCAUGCCAGUCGAGGGGAAACGGCAUUGAGUGCUUGCACUGAAUGGACGUCGACCGGCGCACGGGUGAGUAACGCGUAUCCAACCUUCCCGUUACUGCGGGAUAACCUGCCGAAAGGCAGACUAAUACCGCAUGUUCUUCGAUGACGGCAUCAGAUUCGAAGCAAAGAUCCGUCGGUAACGGAGGGGGAUGCGUCUGAUUAGCUAGUUGGCGGGGCGACGGCCCACCAAGGCGACGAUCAGUAGGGGUUCUGAGAGGAAGGUCCCCCACAUUGGAACUGAGACACGGUCCAAACUCCUACGGGAGGCAGCAGUGAGGAAUAUUGGUCAAUGGGCGGAAGCCUGAACCAGCCAAGUAGCGUGCAGGAUGACGGCCCUACGGGUUGUAAACUGCUUUUAUGCGGGGAUAAAGUGAGGGACGCGUCCCUUUUUGCAGGUACCGCAUGAAUAAGGACCGGCUAAUUCCGUG
rnacentral:rRNA from 1 species